UACGUAGGGGGCUAGCGUUGUCCGGACUCAUUGGGCGUAAAGCGCGUGUAGGCGGUUCGGUAAGUCCGCUGUGAAAGUCGGGGGCUCAACCCUCGAAUGCCGGUGGAUACUGUCGGACUAGAGUACGGAAGAGGCGAGUGGAAUUCCUGGUGUAGCGGUGAAAUGCGCAGAUAUCAGGAGGAACACCAAUUGCGAAGGCAGCUCGCUGGGACGUUACUGACGCUGAGACGCGAAAGCGUGGGGAGCAAACAGG
rnacentral:rRNA from 1 species